CGCGUAGGCGGUUGUUUAAGUGAGAUGUGAAAUCCCUGGGCUUAACCUAGGAACUGCAUCUCAUACUGGAUAGCUAGAGUAUUGUAGAGGGUAGUGGAAUUUCCGGUGUAGCGGUGAAAUGCGUAGAGAUCGGAAGGAACACCAGUGGCGAAGGCGGCUACCUGGACAAAUACUGACGCUGAGGCGCGAAAGCGUGGGGAGCAAACAGGAUUAGAUACCCUGGUAGUCCACGCUGUAAACGAUGAAAACUAGAUGUUGGGCAGCAUGACUGUUUAGUAUCGAAGCUAACGCGAUAAGUUUUCCGCCUGGGGAGUACGGCCGCAAGGCUAAA
rnacentral:rRNA from 1 species